GGGCGAGUGGCGGAAUUGGUAUACGCGGCAGACUUAAAAUCUGCUUCCUUUACCGGAUUAUGGGUUCGAGUCCCAUCUCGCCCACCA
rnacentral:tRNA from 1 species